rnacentral:lncRNA from 1 species
UCGCCUCGUGGUAAUAGGUGAGGGAUGAAAUCGAACAUCUUUUAGACGACAAUGGAGAUAUGGCCCAACUACACCUAACUCGGAACUGGAUACAGACUCAACAAUGGAGAUAUGCAUCAAAUGACAUUGUUCCUGCUUCACCUCAUCUCUGCCGACCCAGAAGUGGCAACAAUUAUGAGGAUGUACAGGACCUAGAAAUCUUGCUUGAAGACUACUUCAUGCUAUUUGAAAGCACCCGCAAUAAAAUUCUCUCUGUGAGUAUCGGCACUUUUUAUCAUUCUUAAUCAUGGGUGUGCUAGUUUUAGUUUUGGUUUCUAUCUGGUAAUGAGGUGUUUCCCUAAAAAAAACUGUAUGAUGUAGAGACCGGAUCAAUAUCCCGGGUCGGGUCUAUCCAAUCUACGAUUAUUACUUUUGUUGCUUUCGCCAGCAAUAUCAUUCGACUCUUUUUCAUUGCUAAAUCCCCUGUUGAUGAAGUUGGAAAGUCUAGUAUUUUUGUUGAUUCGAAAUAAUAUUGAUAAUCUCUUGUUCUCCUGUAGUUACGAGAACAUAUCGGUGACACAGAAGAUUAUGUAACUAUCCAACUUAACAGUCGACGCAACGAAAUGAUGCAGCUGAAGUUGAUAUUUCUGAUUGCCUCCUUUGCCAUUGCAGUAGAAACUGGUAUAGCUGGGAUGUAUGGCAUGAAUAUUAAAAUCAAGCUUUACGACACCAAAGGGGUAUUCUGGCAAGUUGUUGGGCUUAUGACGGUUGCGUGUCUGCUGCUAUUCUUUGUAGUUUUGGGAUACGCCCGUUGGAAGAGACUUCUUGGGUCUUAGUAAGAGGUUGACAGCAACAAUUUAAUUUGGAUUGAUGAAUCUGUGUUUUGAGUUGUUAUAUACACUUAAGUUGAGCAAUAUAUGUCCAUAGUUUGUGUGCAAAAUGCGUAUGUACUGGUGCAAAGGCAGCCACCAGGUAAGGCUGACAGCAACUUCAGAGCUUUUUUCUUUUUUCCUUUUUUUCUUUUAGGAAAACAACUUAAGAGCUUUGAUCAGUGCUUGGGUUGGAUUUUUUCUUGUACUCUUCGUGUAUGAUAUGAUCGAUCUCUUAUCGCACUGUUGCAUAGCAAACAACAUAAGCAAGCCUCAAUGGAGGAUGACAGCAAGCUUCCCUAAUCGUUGCUGGAAUAAACGAAAUUACCUAAGACUCAUAAAUAAAAUAACACAACAAAUAAUAAAUAAAUAAAUACUAUAGAACGAAUGAAAGAAAAAAAAAACUCGAAUUCAAUAGCUGCAAAUUUUCGUCCAGCCUCCAAAGUGGCGUGUAUAUAUAUGCCUAUGGAAUUGUAUAAGUUACUUCCUUAUAUAAUACUCCCUCCGUCCACUAAUUCAAGGCCUUCUUUCCUUUUUGGGACGUCCACCAACUCAAGGUCUAUCCAUUUUUAGUAAGUUUUUAUUUAUAUUUAAUUGGUGGGUCCUAAAACAAUACACUUUUUUCUCCACUCAACUAAUAAACAAUACAUUAAUUGUGGGUCCCUUUCUCCACUCAACUAAUAAAAAUACAUUUUUUCUUAAAACCCGUGUUUUGCUCCUUAGGUCAUGAAUUAGUGGACGGAGGGAGUAUAUAAUAUAAUACUAAUAAUAUUAAAACCUACUUCUACAUCUACAAGGAAAUAAAGUGGCGUCCAAGUUUAGGCAAAUAAGGCCCAAAACAAAAUAAACUAAUCCACCAAAAGUCAAAGUAAAACAAAUAACUCCAGCACAUAAAACAUCUCCCCAAGCGAGUCUUCAAUCCAUGCAGUCAGACCACAAUUCAGGUGGUAUGGGCAUCCCGUCCUGUUGUAUUAGGAUUAUAAUAUAAUAUAAUUGUGUUAUAAUUUUGCAACACUAUUUUUAAUGUGUUGUAUAAUUGUAGCAUUUCACUUAAGUGUCACAAAUAAACUGUCGUAAAUUAGAGACACAAGAAAAAGUGAUUGUGAUAUAAUAUAUAGAUGACACACAAUUGUCGUAUUGUCGUAUAUUUACAACAUUAAAUACGACACUAUUUUAAAUUAGUCGUAUAAUCAUGAUUAUGUCAUUUUAAUGAGGUGUCACAAAUAAUUAUCGCAAUUCAGAGAUAGAAAAAAUAUGUGUCGCAUUUGUGUUUAAAAAAUACGACACAAUAUUUAAAUGAAACACAAUUGUCGCAGAUAUAUAACAUGAAACUAGCGGAUAACCUGUCGAAAUUCGACGGGCAUCCUUUAAUGUAAUAAUUUUAAAUUUUAAUAUACUAAUAAAUUUAUAAACAAUAUAUUAUAAAAUGAUAAUAUUAACAAAUAUAAUUAGAAUAAGUGCUAUGAUAAAUUCGUGGGAUUACACGCUAAUUUUUAUAGGAAUCAACAACCCACAUUUAAUAUGCAAGUUUUGAACCCUCAAUUGGAUUAAAUAUCCUUAAAUUAAAAGUCCAAACCAAUCAGAGAAAUUUGGUAUGCUGAUAGGACCCCGUAACUAACUAUGAGGUAAAUUUGAUACGCUGAUAGGACCCGUAACUAACUGAAGAUACAAUUGCAUGAAACAGAAUAUAUGGGGAGUCCUUUCCCACGCUGAUAUAUAGUUCCUAUAAAACACCUAUUAAAUAGAAGAUAUAUGGGCAGGCCUUUACCACCCUGAUAGGACCUAUAAAACAGCGUUGAUACAGAAGAUAUAUGGGCAGACCUCGGAAGAAGAUGGUUAUGUCGAUGGAGCUGGCGAGCACUACAAGCAAGGCAUGUGGGAAGAAACGGAAGAAGAUGGUCUGGACUAUGUUGCCUCCUUCUCGUCCUCCUCGUCCGGCGAUGGAGCAGGCGAGCACUACAAGCAAGGCAUGUGGGAAGAAGAAGUGGGUCAACAAGCAUCUUUGGAUGCGGAUAGAUAGCCUAGGGCAAUCAGAAACUAUCGAGUGUGAUAAGAGCGUCAUCAUCAAGCGCUUCUCCAUUCCCGCCAGGGAUUUAGGGCUUUUGGGGCCAAUCUUCUAUCAUCCUUCCGGCAUUAUUGGUAUAACUUUUGGCAAAAUUUUCUCCUUUUUAGUUGGUUUUAUGAGGCCAACUCUUAGUGCUUUUUGCGUGGGUGUUGGGCGAUGUGUGUUUAGUUGUGCAAUCUUGGUCUGCAUGUGUUGGUUUUGAUGUUACAAAAGUGAAGUCAAUGACAUGAAUUCCACCUCUCACUGAUUUCUGUUUGCUGGUUAUGGGUAGUGAUAAUUCAUGCUACAAAAUUUGACCAAGUGGUUGAUUGUCACUACUUAUACAAGUCGUUUCCUUUCCCUUGUAUGUAGCUAGGGAAAAAUGUAUGAUCCUUAGUUUGGAAUUUAUAAGAGCAUUAGUCUCAGCAGAAGAAGUAAUGUUACUCAAUCCUCUUCAACAAGAGGUUCUGGUAUUUGUGGAUCAGCUAACGCGGCAUUUAUCUUCUAAGAAUCGACAACAUCCAGAAGCUUCUGAAGAUGAACUACUACUGCCUUUUGAGUUCCAGGUGUUGGAAAUAGCAUUAAAGGUUGCAUACAGAUAUCUAGAAUCUAGUGUCUCUCAAGUUGAGAGGGAUGUUUACCUUGCUUUAGAUGAAGUAACCAUAAGUGUUAGCACCAAGAAUCUUGAGUAUAUACGGACUUUCAAAAGCAAUCUCACUCGUUUGCUUGCACGGGUGCAUAAGGUAACUCAAAUAAUUUCUCUCUUGUUAUUUUUUGUAGACAGAUCGUCAUUUAUAAUUAUAUUAACCCUUCGAUCGAGACGAUGCAGCUUAUGCAUGUGGUGAAUUAAUGUUCUUUCAUAUCAGUAAUAGUUUUUGCAUUUUAUCCAUCAUGAGAAUGAGAGGUUCUAGUGCUAGGCAAAUAUUAUGUGGCAAUUGUCAAACAUCAUGUGGUUUGCUUGUCAGUUAUCUUGUUUAAGGUUUGUUAACGAUGGAUCCUUGCUCUAAAUCUAUCUCGCCUCGCGGUAAUAGGUGAGGGAUGAAAUCGAACAUCUUUUAGACGACAAUGGAGAUAUGGCCCAACUACACCUAACUCGGAACUGGAUACAGACUCAACAAUGGAGAUAUGCAUCAAAUGACAUUGUUCCUGCUCCACCUCAUCUCUGCCGACCCAGAAGUGGCAACAAUUAUGAGGAUGUACAGGACCUAGAAAUCUUGCUUGAAGACUACUUCAUGCUAUUUGAAAGCACCCGCAGUAAAAUUCUCUCUGUGAGUAUCGGCAC